UUUUUAACAUGCCCCUACUAACAAAGGCUGCCAAAUUGCGUGCUAAGCGUGUUUACGAGCCUUAAGACUCCAAAACUGUUGUCAGCUCGUCUAAAAAAAAUGUGUUUAAAAGCUUGUGAGGAAAUUCUUUUCCCUCUCAAUUCGACGCAAUUUCUCCCUACAAUUACCUCUUUGAAAGGAUUUUGAAAGAGUUGAGAGACUUAGGGAAGAGAAAAUUUUAAUGCAAUUGGAGGAAAGUAGGCGCAGGGAAGAAGGAACACAAAAACUUUUAAAAACGCUAACGGGCGAGGUUAGGCAACUUAAGUCCGUACCGGAGCCGUUAGCAAACAACCUCCAAGUGCUGCCUUACGAAACCCUGCCUGAUUUUAAGGAUUUUGACCAGAAAUUCCUGAACGAUGACGAAAUCCGUAAAGAACUGAAACCAAAACUAAAAAUGGUUCGAGGGCAAGAUGUUCCCUCUUUUACGAGAUUGGCCAUCAAUGCCAUUAUUUCAAAUAAACUGGCAGUGGAUAUAACGUGGCGAGGAACCCCAGACAAACCAAGCUUUCAAAUAUUCUCGACUUAUGCGAUCAUUAAAUUAUUUUUUAUUAUUACUGAAUAAAAACAAACGUUUUUUUUCUGUUCUUUUAGAAA